rnacentral:lncRNA from 1 species
UUUUUUUCAUCUUAUUUCAUUUUCGUGUGAACAUGGUGGAAUCAAGUUUUUAUACUAAUAACCUUAUAAUGAUAAGAGUUAAUUUCAUCAGUACUGUAGUACCCCGGGAUUUCUGCAGCUGUGGGAUUAUUGCCUCGGAGGCUUGUCGACAGAUCUGGAGAGUGUCGGAACAAGUUUGAGUCGCGUUGGCACGAAAUAGACGCAAAACGGACUCGUUGCGACGCAAGAGCAGGCUUUUAGCAUUCCAAUCUGCCAAUGAUAGAUUUUCAGCAAUGCGUACCAGUACCACAUUGAGGGAGUAUCGGGCAUUUUUUAAAAUAAAUUGAAAAUUUUUAAUGUGUCCAUUAAUAAAUUGAAGAAUUAUUGAAAAAUAUAAAAAUAUUAUAUAUAUAUCUACUUAUCUAUUUAUAAAUAGUAAGUUUAAAUGAUUAAUAAAAUUAUACAAUUAUUUUAUGUAUAGUAAAGAUAAUUUCAUCAUUCUAAAGAGGUGACAAAAUUCACAAAUACAAUUAUCAGCUUUAUAUUACCAAACAGAAAAAAUAUAACUGCAGCAAUUGUAACUGUAUAAAACCAAACAGACUAGGUGUAGUUACAACUACAGUAUUUAUAACUGCAUGUAUUUUUAAAUAUACUAUUUCUGCAAAUACAUUCUACCAAACGGCCCCUUAUUAUCCAUACCAUCAUUUGUAACUUAUUGAUUUUAACUUGUCAGGCCAAACGGUCCCUAAAAUUUUUUAUUUUUAUUAGCUAAAUUAUAGAACAUCUUUCUAUAAAUGCCUGCCUUCUUAUUUUUCCUUGACUUUCAAAAACUAACAUUUUGCCUCUUAAAAUUUUAGAAAUAUUUUCGGAGGGUACAGUAUUAAUGGAGAAGGCAAAAUGACCAAAUUGUUCUUACUUCUUUUAUAAAAAAAAAUAGUUUUUAAUAUAUUUUUAUUAUUUUGAAGGAUAUUUUUGAUAUAAAUUAUAAGAAAUUAAUAGAACUCUAUCGGAGAGUAGUUAAAAUGCAACAACUUAAAAUGUUGAGGGGGCAAAUGUAGAUUUUUAAAAGUUAGGAAAGAAAAGUUAAAAAAAAAAAGGUAUUUAUAAGAAAAUUUUUUGUAAUUUGACUUCUUUAUUUCAUAAAGGUGCAUAGGCCUGUAAGUUGUAAAAUAUAAUAUUGAUUAGUCUUUAUAUAAAAGUCUAUUAUUUGUAAGGAAAAAAAAAAAAAAAAACUUUGGGGAAAAUUUUCAGAAUCUCUAUUAGUCAUAUAAUUAUGAAUCAACCAUAGUUAUUCCAAACAGAGUAUAUGAUAUAAUUGAGUAUAAUAAUUGUGAUAAUUUAAUUUUAAGUUAAGAUUAACCCUCAAUCAUGUCCUAGAAUAAAGUUAUAAUUAAUUAUUAAGUUAAUCACUCCACAUAAUUACGAACAAAUGCAUUCUCCUCUUUUGAUAGAAAAGCUUUUGAAGAAAUCAGAUUCGAUACAUAUUCCAAUUACCCUUUUUUUUUAUUUCUUUUGGGUAAAUAUAAAUAAAGUAGGAUUAGCCCGAUAAUUUUAUCUAUAUCUACAUUAAUCCAUAUUCAAAUUCAAUUCAAUUAGUAGUAAAUGAAUCAUAUAUUAUAUAUUGUAAUAAUAUAGACACUAGACGACACAAUGGUUUAUUAAAAAUAAUCAAUAUAUUUUUUAAAUCAAUUCAUGAGACAAAGGCUUUGAUUUUCGUUUCAACAAUUAAAAUUAAUUGAGAGACUAAUUAAAAUUAAUUGGCCAAUAAGUUGGUCAUCAUUAUUUCAAUAUAAUGGACCCCUCUGAUUUGCUAAAUAUUAUUUAAUUGAGAGUUUAAUUAAUUCCCUCAUCUGGCCGUAUAUCUUAUAUGUAAUGAAUGUGUCAAAGGUAGAGACUAAUUAGAACUCACAGUCCAAUUAGAUUCUUAAUUAAACUCUAUUUAUGUUUUAAUAAAACUAAAUCUCAUCUUAUAUCCUAAUUAAAGUAGAAUUUGACUUUAAUUUUAAAUCAAUUUGACUUUAAUUUAAAUAACUAUAAAUUUAAACCGAAAUCUAACAAUAGAUUUUCUCACUAAUCUGUUAUAAACAACAUUUGUGAAACUACCUCUUCUAUUACUCUAUUUCUUAUUAUAUCAAGUCCUAUUUAUCUAGGAUUAACUCAACCUAGUUAAGAACUGAAAUUUGCUUUUAUCCUUUUAGAAUUAUACCGAAGCUUAAUUUUUCUUCAAAAAUUUUUUUUAAUCUUUCCAAUAAGGGUAAAAUAUAGAAAACUCUAUGUAAAUACUUGUUUUUUUACUUCCUCCGCUGACUUUGAAAAAUAUAUAUAUUUUAUCUUCUCAUAAUUUCAAGUUAAUGGAUUUAAACGCCUUUCGAUCGUCAGAAUUCCGUCACUAGCUACUAUUCCGUCCAUUUCUUAUAAUUUAUACUGAAGAUACCCUAAAAUUGUUAGAAAUGCAUAAAAAAAUUUAUUUUUUUCUUAACAAGUAAAGAAAAUUUAGUCAUCUUAGAAAAUAAAAAAAUAUGGGUAUUCAUAAGGGAAGGAUUUUUUUUUUUUUUUUUGUCAAUAAAUAAAGUUUUACGGGUACAAAGCAUUCUCCAAAUACAUAAUACUGUGGAGUAGCUGAAGGCACCAACUAAUCUGAUGCGUUCACUUUUACAUACGUAUACAUUGAAAAUAAAAUAAAAUAAAAUAUACAUACAAGAGAAUAUCUGCAUAUAUCGAUCAUCAUUUUCAAUUUUUCUCAAGCACGGAUUAUUUAGAAGAUCUGAGGCGGAAAAUAUGAAAGCAUCAAGCUCGGUCGGUGCUCUGCAAAAAGCGCACAAACUCACCUACAUGAUAUGGAAUCAUUGAAUCCUUUCUUUGACUAACUUGCCGUUUCCGUCUCGAUCGAACCAAAUAAUAAAAUUCGGGAUGUGGCAAACCCUCGUGCGCCAAUCGUUGUUGUGGUCGCCUUCUCCUCCUCCUAGAAGCAGCUCAACAAGUUCCUCUGCUGGAUAGAUAAUGUAUAAAUACUGAAGGGUGGUAAGGUACUCGAUACCGUGGGGCAGCUCCUUUAGCUCGGGGCAACGUACUAGCCGAAGCGUAUUCAGGCUUGCCAUUGCUCCUCUUUCUAUUUCCACCUGGCUGGGCUUCGGGGCAUCAUAUAUUAAAAAUUCCUUUAGCUUCGGGAAUGAUGUUGCUUGGAAGUGCAACUUGAUUCCGUUAUAUGCCCCCCAAAGUUCAAGAAACAUCAAUGCGGGCAGCGCUUGCAGGUAAGGAAAUGUAUCUUCAUCCAAUUUUGCAUAUGUAAGUGUUAAUCUGGUUAGGUUUAUAAGAGACCCAAAGGACGUGGCAAGCUCAAGGAGUGAGGUUUUGUCUAAUUCACCACGCAGAUAUAAUCUUUGAAUUCGUAGAGGUAGGCGCAGGAUGCCCAACUGCUGUAAUUCUUGCCCACGUACACUGCUGACAUCUAAAUAGUUAAGAUGGUUCAUCUUUGUGAUACUAUUCCACAAGUCUGCACAGUGAUUGGUUCUAACGCCCUUUAUUGAAAAUGUCCGCAACUCUGUCAAAGCUUCUACAUUCCGCACAAUCUCCGUAGUUGCUUCAAUAUAUUCUAAAGUCUGCAAGCCCUUCAAGCGCCAUAUUCCUGCGAUUGCGUUGAUGUUCUUACCCAAAUUGCCGGGCAAAAUUAGAUGUCUCAACUUUUGAAGCUCUGUUAUUUCCUUUGGCAGCUUUUCUAUUGCACUUACACCUGUAUCUAAUAUUUGCAGAUUUCGUAGCUUCCCAAUUGAUCUUGGAAGCUCCUUAAUUUUUGUUUCUCGCAAGCCUAGAUAAUGCAAGUUGAAUAGGUUACAUAUCUCACUCGGUAGUUUCUCGAUUAGUGCUCCUUGUAGUUCCAAGACACGUAAAAAUGUUGAUGAUCUUAAGACCGACUUCAGUAAAUCAUAGCUCAUGGAAUUGUUGAAAACAAGUACUGAACGCAAAUGAGAUUUGUCUUCAGUACUAUAAUUAGAUAUAUUGCUUAGGAUUGACAAGCGGCGUGCUUUGGAUCCCCGCAAUAUUGUCCGUGAAUGCUCGUAAACUAUGCAGAAACUUAACUCCUUUGACUCCGAAAGAGCGAGGACUCGAAUGAUGUCAUGCAUUCGACAUUUUUGAACUCUACCAACUUCAUCCCUACGUACCACUUGUAGUAGACAGCGAUGAACAAGUUCGUUAAGGUAGUCCUCGGCCACUUCCUCCAUCGUUAUUCCUCUAUUUUCUUCAAUGAACCCUUCGGCCACCCAAAGCCUUAUGAGCCUGCCACUUUCAAUUUGAUAAUCUUCCGGAAAACUAGAACAAUAUAAGAAGCAAUUUCGAAGGUAAUGGGGAAGAUUGUCCAAACUAAGUUUCAAAAUGUUAUGUACUUUUUUAUGGUGUUCCAAUACAUUAUUGGUUAGAUACCACUCAAGAUCUUUGUAAACCUUCUCCCAUUCAGAACCGGUUUGUACUCGAAAUGAUAAGAGACGGGCUAUAGAUACGAUAGCAAGGGGCAAGCCACCGCACCUCUCGACAAUUUUUUUAGCACAUUGUUCUAAAGGCGGUGAGCAAAUCUUGUUUGCACUUUUCCAAAAUGCGUUUUUACAAAAGAGAUCCCACGAAUGAUCUGCCUCUAGUGGCUUUAGCUCAAACAUGCGGUUUUCGUUUGCUAAUAGAGCUACAUUGCGAAUCCUUGUUGUGAGAACUAUUCUACUUUUGCAAUUACUAUUCAAAAGUGCAUACUUUAUCUUGCCCAGUACAUCAGUACUCCAAACAUCAUCCAGAAUGAGUACAUACUUUUUACACUGCAAGUAAGUGCGGAUAGUCUCAACCAAGCUUCUAUAAUCCAUGGUAUCAAUGUUGUUAGGUGCUUCUCUUUUCUCACGAUCUUCCCUACAGAACUCUUUUAAGAUUUUUCUAAGCAAAUCAUCAGUCUCAUAACUUUGAGAUACAGCAACCCAGGCACAAGCAUCAAAGGAAGCUUUGAUGAUAUUGUACACAUGAGUCACGAGAGUUGUCUUCCCUAGACCACCCAUCCCCAACACUGAGAUUAUCAUGGGCUGUCGUUGUUGCUCAUCCUCAUCUUUUAACCAUCUGAGCAACAAGUCCCUGUACUCGUCAAUACCCACGAUAUCAUCCUCCUCGACAAAAUGGGGUAAUUCUGCGGGGCUCUUGCUACCGCUGGCAACUAUUAGAGGUCUUGCUUCAUUUUCCAUCCUACUCAUAUCAUAUCGCUCUCUUCUUUCCUUUUUAUUGUUUUGGAGCUUAAUUUUGAUUUUGUUAAGCCUCUUGCUAAGGCGACACCAAGUUGUUAUAUUUCUGCACCUCUUGACUAUUUUAGGCAAGACCCCUCCUUGCUCUUCACCGAGCUUGCAUGUGAACUCAUCUAUAAUAUCCUCAAUGUUGAAAGCCAAGUCUCUUGUUUGUUUUAUGAAGGUUUUUGUGAUCUCAUCCUUCUCUUUUAAUCUUUCUGCGAUCUGUAGGAAGGAUAGCAUGCUCUCAUGCUCAUGCUUAAUGUCGCUUAUAUCCUCCGGUAGUUCUUUCAUUGCUGAUAUCCGUGUUCGUAAUAGUGAUGUUGCUGAUUUAGUUGCUUCACUAGCUAAGCUUACCACAGCCUCCGCCAUAGGCACUUCCUCUGAAUUGAGCCUAAUAUAAACAAUCUUUUCAAAUUACCAUGUCUCUUCAAAUGCACCACUAGCAAAAAUGAUUAUUUUUUAACGCUCUUAUGAUUCAAGGCAAUUUUCAUAAAAAAUAUGUACUUUUCUCAACCGGAAUAACUCUAUAGUGCACUAAACAAACAUUUGUUAGAAUCCUCAGUUAAAAAAAAAGAAACACCAUUAACAGUAUUGUAGUACUUCUGGAAGAACAAAAAGCAAUAACUUGUUUGAGAUUCAAUUUAACAAAAUUUUGAGACGAAAGAUUCAUCAUAACUAGUCAUACUGAAUUUGACCUCAAUGUAUAUUUGUAGAGCAAGUUGUGAAAAAGUCCUUUAGAGGAGUAUGAAAUCAAUAAAGAGUUGCAAAGUAAAUCAAUCUGCUGCUAACCAAUGAGUAGAUGGUAUCGUAUUAAGCAUGAUUGUAAAUUAUUUUACAAUUAAUAAUUAUAAAUCGAGUUUCUUUUGAAGCCCUCUUGUUGUUCAUAAUUAAGUUAAUAUAUAUCAGGACGAUAAGUCAUUUGAGCAAGAAACUAUUAGUGCUUUUUCAAAUAGUUUUGUUUUGAUAGAAAUAUAAGAACUUAAAUUUUAGACUCCUGAAACUCCCGUAUUUUAAUAUGUUAAAUUUUAUUGCCUCAAAAUUCAUACUGCCUAUUAUCAAACCUGAAUCUAAAAGUUCUAUUUCAACUUCUGUGAUUUGUUUUGCAAUUUGUAGAAGUUCUACAUUACAAGUUUUGACGUAUAACUAUUUUUUUUUUUUUCUGAAAUAAUUGUUAUCUUUGUUAGUUCAGCAGGAGUAUUUCUUAAGUGAAAUGACUUUGAUACUUUUUUCUUUUUUUUUUUUUUUUUUUUUUUUUUUCUGAUGAUGAGGCAUUAAACUAAAUGUUGCAUAUCAUUAAAUAUGAUCUAGAUUAUUUGAAUGGUUUACGACCUGAAAUUUAUUUUUUGUCGUUAUCAUUUACCUAGUGAUCAAAUGGUUUCAAAAUUGAUAAUUUAACAAGUAAAACAAGACACUUUCUUCUUGUUUAACUGCAAAGAAAUAAAACCCUCUCAACUAUUCAGAUCAAGCUCUAUAACCAAGAUUGUGAAUUUAAGAUUUUUUUUUAAUUAUAUUUUUAGAAGGUUGCUAGAUUUGACCUUUCAUAUUAUAUAUAUAUAUGCCAACUUGGCUGACCUGAAAAUAAAUUUUAAAACUCAUAAAACUCUUUUUCUAGAAAGUUUAUCUACAUAUGUAUCUUUUAAUUUAGCAUCUUGCAUGGUAUUGAUCAUCGAUUUAGAUGCUCAAUCAUUAAAAAUGAAGUGAAAGUAUAUAUAAUUAAGGCCAAAUUAUUCUAUCUUAAUUAUUAUCUUUCGUUAUUUUGUUACCAAAGAUCAAGUAAAUCCAAACAAUAUAUAUGUUAACCAACAAAGACGCUUUGUGCUUUAAAGAACUAAGCCAGCUGAUAGCAAAGAGAAUAAACAUUAAUUAAAAAGAACAAGUAGAAGAAGAUGCACAACUAACCACAGAUCCAAAAGGGAGAUAUAUAUUGAAGAGGGAGCUGCUCCAAAAUAAUUAAUCUGAAAUUUAACUAGGAAAAAUACUGCAACCAAAGAAGCUCUUGAAGCAGAAGAUUUAGGGCUUGAGGAGUGAGGGAUGAUAUGGACGUACAGUGCAGCAACCAAGAAGCAUCUUUCCUCUUAACAUCUCCCAUCAGCACUUGAGUGCAGUGCAGUGGGCCAUGAUGAAUUAAUUGUAGGGAAUCUUUUGAUUAUUUACCUUUUUCUACUUAUCAAAGUUUUUAAAUUUAUUUUGAAAUUGUCAAAAUACUUUUUCGAAAUUAAAUCUUAUUAGUAAACCGGAGCAAAAAUGAAGAUAUUUGAAAAAAUUAUUUAAAUCAGUAAGUAUAUUUUGAUCCUCCAGAAAAAAAUAUAUAAGAUAUUUUGAAGUUUUGAAUAACAUAAUGGAUAUUAUUUUGAAAUUUUAUACAUAGGAUGAAAACUUCAACUAGCCGUCUUGUGGCCCAACGUGUUACAUGCUUCGUCGUACUGUAUUCGAAAAAUCUAAAGUAUUUAUGCUUCGGCAUUCUGUGUUCAAAAGGUCUGAGAAAUUUUUUUAUUUUGUCAUUUUGCAUUGGAAAAGUUUUAUUAUGUUGUUAAUUGUUAUAUAAUUUUACCUUUUGUUCGAGGGUAAAUUACACUUUCAGUCCUCAAAUUUUAAUUUAUUAUAAUUUUUGGCUUAAAUUAUAGAAUUAUUUGCAUACACGUCCCUGUAAAUAUAGUGAAUUACGAAAAUAUCCCUGCAAAACGAAAACUCCAUAAGUUGUCCCUGCAAAAGUCCUAAGUUAUGCAGAUAUGUCCCUCCGGUUAACAUCCGUUAGUGAUCUGUUUAUUUUUUAACAGUGGAUUCGUAAAAUGACCAUUUUACCCUCACAAAUAUAUCCCUCCAAAAGUUUUCCUCUUCCCUUUCUCUUUCUCUUCCUCUUCGAACCGCUGAAGAGGACGACUGCGGCAGCGGCGCGGGGUCGGGUUAGCCUGCGACGAAGAAGAGGGAAGAACGCCGGGGCACCGGGGCUCUACCCGGAGCUCGUCGCCCUCAAUGCCGUCCCCUCCCUCGUCGGCCUCCUCGGCCACGACAUCGCCGACAUUGCCGUCGACGUAGUCUCCCUCCACACCGACGCCGACAUCCUCGGCGACCACGACGACUCCGCGCACACCCUCGUCGCCGCCCUCGUCGACAACAACGCCCUCGAGCUUCUCAUCCAGAACCUCGCCCGCCUUUCCGAGGCCGAUCCCGACGAGGUUCUUCGCCCUCGCCGGUGACGAAGAAGAGGGAAGAGAAAGAGGAAGAAGGAAAAAGGAAGAAGAAGGGAGAAGAGGAAGAGGGAAGAAGAAAAGAAAGAGGGUUCGCCAAGAAAGAGGAAGAGGAGGAAGAGGAAGAAGGGUAAAUACGUCAAUUCAUAUUAUAAUUAAUCAUAGUUAAAUAUUUUAACCGUGGUUAACAAAAAUUUUCUAACAGAUCUAGACGGCAGGGACAUAUUUGCAUAACUUAAGACUUUUGGAGGGACAACUUAUGGAGUUUUUGUUUUGAAGGGAUAUUUCUGUAAUUCAUUAUGUUUACAGGGACAUGUAUGCAAAUAAUCCUAAACUAUACUACACAUUACAUUUUAGUCCUCGAACUUUAAUUAGGUGUAAUCCUUGGCGCGGUCGAUAAGGCGUGUGUAUAUUUUGGUACUUGACUCGCUAAAUUAUUGGAAUUAAGUUUCACGGCCUAUUUUUUUUAAUAAUAUGGAUAGAUUAUUAAUAUCAAAUUAAUGCAGCAUUUUAAAUAUUGUUGGAUCAUCAAAUAUGAUAUUGUUACAAUUCAAAAAGUUCGAAGAUUAAAAUGUGACAUGCUUUAUAGCCCGAACCAAAAUUAUAGGUAAUUAAAAUAUGAGGACAAAAGUGUCAGUGGCCUCUAGUUCGAGUGAAAAAUUAUAGUAAACAAAAUUUUGAGGACGAAAGUAUCAGACGCAUCAUAGUUUGAGGAUGGAAAGUGUAAUUUACCAAAUUUGUUUUUUUAUAAAAUUUUUUUAUUAAAUAGAAUUGUAAAAUAUUUUAAUUUGCAAAUUAUACUGAAAUGCUAAAUUUUGUAGAUUUGAUGGUGGUAAAAUAUAGUAUUUUACAUAUAUAUCUAUACUAUAUAUAAAAGCACGUAUAUUCAAAUUUGGGUCUGUCGACAGACCCAUUUUUCGGCGGAAAAAUUAGCGCUCAUUUUUCUCUUUCCGUACGAAAAAUUUUAAAUAUAAGAAUAAAAAUAGAAAUAGAAACAGUUAAGUUCUCUAUAACAGAUUACUGAUGUUGCAAAAUCCCUAAAAUAUAAAUUUUCUAUUAAUUUCAAAAGUAAAUUUUCUAUAAACAGAUUACGGGUGUGAAAAUCCUAUAAAAGAAUUUCCUAUUUUAUUUUAAAUAUCUUUUUAGAUAUUAUCUAUUUAAUUUCAAAAUAUAUUUUCUUUUAAGAACGGAUUUUAUUUUCUAUUUAAUUUCAAAAUUUAUUUCCUAACAGAUUUUAUUUUCUAUUUAAUUUCAAAAGUAAUUUGCAUUAGAGAUUAUUAUUAAUUAUUUAUCAUUUAAAGCAUAUCUUUCUUAUAAGCGGUUUAUUAUUUUAAAUUUUUUAGAUACAUAUUUAGCAAUCAUAUAAAAUAUGGCCUAAAAUUAAAAAUAAUUUAAAAUUAUAACUUUUCUAAUAAUUAUUACGUGUAUUUGCACGUACAUUUACUAGUAUAUAUAUAUAUAUUAUAAUAUAUAUAAUAUAUAUAUAUAUAGGGUCAGGCUACUAUACUAUUAUAAAGUACGAUCGCCCUCGUACUCAUAAGUUGUUUUCGAUGAUAGAGCUUCCGAAUCGACGAUCCAUACCGUUAAACGUUAUUUAUAGCAUUUUAGACUUCUAGAAAUCAAAUUUCAUAAUUUUUCGAUAUCAUUUACCUUACAAUCAAGAGGUCACGAAUUUGACAAUUUUUAACGGCCGUUAUGGAAUACUUGCUAGUUUAACGGUAUAAAAAAAUCGGAAUUUGUUGAAUUUUUGAUAGAAAAUUCUAGUCACUACAAAGAUAAAGAUCACUAACUCCGAUCUUGAAUUGAAGAAUCCGAUCAUCCAUUUUUAAGACGUCGUUCGAUUUUGACCGUUCAUUUUAUGCCCGUUUGAUGGAUUUUAUUAUGAUUUCGAAAAUUUACGAAAUUUAUUUUCUAGAAGUUUCAAAUACUCUAGAUCAUAUUUAACUGAGUGGAUCGUCGAUUCGGAAGCUCUAUCAUUGAAAACAAUUUAUGAGUAGUAAGGUUCCAAUACUCAUAAUAGUAUAGUAGCCAUGGCCUAUAUAUAUAUAUAUAUAUAGAGUCCGGCUACUAUACUAUUGAUAGUACCAAGCCUUUGGUACUAUAGAGUUUUCUACCGUUAGAUCUACCCUAUGAUCAUUUCCACCCGUUAGAUUAUACUAUUAAACCAACCACCCACUCAACCCUAGGGGACCACUAUCAUCCUAACCGCACAUCCUUUCAUCCAAUGGCCAAAAACUCAAUAGUACCAAGGGCUUGGUACUAUUGAUAGUAUAGGAGCAUAAUUCUAUAUAUAUAUAUAUAUAUAUAUAAAAUACAUAAUUACUCAACCCGACUUACAGGCAAAAAUUAGGGGAUAACUAAAACCACCCCUGUGUGACCCGAGCAUCUUCAAUUAUUAAAGGCAAAGGCGACACAAGUCAUCAAUAAGUAGGGCUGGCAAAUGAGCGAGCCGGCUCGUGUUCGACUCGCGUUCGACUCGAUAUUUGGUUCGCUCGAGCUCGACUCGAAAUUAAAUGAGCCGAGCUUAAACAAGAAAAAAGGCUCGAAAUUCAUUUCAAGCCGAGCUUGAGUAUUACUUGGCUCGUUUGAAUUAGGCUUGAAUUUUGAGUAUAGAGGAUCUGGUGCUUUAGAUUUUUGUCACGCCCCGGGGUCUCUUUGUAGUUAAAAAUACAGCGGAAUUUUUUUUUUUGAAAACCUGACCUCCAGGGUAUGCCAGAUCCGCCACAAAUACAGAGAGUCCACUGUUCACAAGGACAGAUCUUCCCUGUAUUUGCACGGCGUCGCGCAAGUACAAGAUGUCCAAACAGAGUACAACCAGGAUACAACCACAAUACUUGAAUAGACAAAACUCAACAUUCAUUCACCAUUCACCAGAUAUUUACUAUUCAGUGUUUAAACAUAAAAACUACGAGAAAACUCUUUUGAAAGCUGUUUAUCUUUAAAACAUGCUACCACGAGAGGUCGAAAAUUAUUUUUCAUUUCGUAAAAUUCACAAUUCCUUUUAUUACAUUCAUGAAAAUUCACAUUUUCAAAUGUAAUAAAAAUACUGAACCAUAUAAACUAUCUAAGUUAUAUCAACAGAAUAAUAAGGGUAGAAACUAAACCGAAUAACCUGGGUCGUAAGUUCUAUCGACCGCUACAAACGUAUCUCACGUCACGUCUCAACUUUCACCGCCCGCGAUACUUGAAAAAUGGUGGGGGAGGUGAGAACAUAUAAACAUGUCUCCCCUCCCAGUGGGUACCGCAAGCCGAAGAAGGCGAGGAGUACUCACCAGAUCAGGAAGAGCUAAACAACAGUACAGAUUAGUGGAAAUACAGUAGCAAUAAUAAUGAACGAAAGAGAUAUAUAUAUACAAAUGAAAGUACAACUACCGCUACUGUAAUGAACAACUGAAUAUAUACAUGCAACAAAACUAUAGUAGCAAGACAAUGUAAAGAAAGAAGUGAAGGUAUACAAGCAACAACCGCUACUAUAGCUAUAUGCGUCAACCAGACGAUAAGUCCAAAUAUACCCAAUCUAGAAACUGCCCUAUUGGUCCGUAGACCUCAGGCCUGUGCCACAACUGCUCAACCUAUACGUGAUCCUCGCAUAGAACACCCGGAUGCGAAAGGUAUCUGACCCUCGCAUAAAGCACCCGGGUCCGAAAGCAUAUAACCCUCGCAUAAAGCACCCGGGUUCACGGGUUGGCACUCCCAACCUCUUUUCCGGAAAAGAACACUCUCUUGCGGUGGCCAAACCGCUGGUGUUCGUGAAAUGCGUACAAGCAGUGGCGAUCAAUGCUGAAUGCUCAAUAGUAAGCCGUCGGCAACCAGCCGACAAUCCUGCCCCUCAGGGCACACCGACCAAUAGGUCAUCGAACUGUAAGAAACACAAGUACCGACCGCUCAGGUCAACUAGGAUGGAACCACUCAACAUCCUCUCAAACAUAUGCAAGUACUGGCUACUCAAGGUCAACUAACUAUAUACUUAAUCCGACCAAUAGGUCAUACAAUGUCACAUCAUGUAUCACUAAAAUUCAGAACUACCGUCAGCCACUGGCCGACAAUCCAACCCCUCAAGGUACACCGACCUCAACGGUCAUCGAUAACAGAAGUCAAGGAACCGACACGAGAUACAAUGACCGACCAAUCAGGUCACAAAAACAGAUACAAUGCACUAAGCGACUAGGUCACCAUCUCACAGAUAGUCACGAAACCGCUCUACUCUAGACAUGAUACAGGAUAUGUAGAACAGACAAGUAGAGCAACAAGAAAACAGGGUAUCACAUACAGAUAAACUACUCUACUCCUACACAUGAUACUAAGCAUGGAAACAUCUGAGUAGAGUAUAACCAAACAACGUAGGUGCUAGGCUCAAUAUAUAGUAUAAGCAUGGAUAAUAAUAAAGGAGCAAGGGUAAGAAACCAUCACCGAGCGUCCACCACUGUAUUGACGUCGGAUCGAAGUACCCACCUGUAAGGAUGUCGCGUCUGUCUCCUGACUGUGAAAGAACAUCAACCGGACCUAAGGAAGGUCCACUGGGUUAGUGUCUAACCCACAAAUAAUCAACACUGAAAUCACAACCCCACAACCAAACCCACGGAGAUCGGUUUCCCAAAAUAGACUACCGUAACUCGCCGGAAGUCCCGAAACCGCACCGGGACUCCGUCGGGACCCACGAACUAUCCCGGAACUCACCAACUCAUAAUAUGAGUCGCCCACUGCCACUAAACACUAAUAUCCAAUGGAACUUGGCAGCAAACACAAGGCAUCGCAUCGAAAUGAUUAUCGUCGGCUAAUCGUUCCGAUCCGGGUUCCCGAGAGUGUCAAUUUCGACACUGGAACCCACCGUCGCUCACCCGUCAUUUCUGAACUCUCGAAGUGACGCGAGUGACCAGCCAACAAGGCUCAGCGACUACACAAUAGCUCAUGAAGCACCGUCGAAAUAAUUCCGAACCGAACCCGCGUUCCAGCGGAUUUCGCCGAGAAACGCCUCGGAAAUUAAUAUUUGAUUUACGAAAUGGCCAAGGCCUUGGAAAAUCAGUCCAGAGGUUACCCACUAUCCACAAAUGCUGUCAACAGCAGCCACGAUGAGCCAAAAUGCAUAAAAGCCCUUCUAUUUUCCUAGAAUCGCAUUAUUUCAUGCGAUUUCGGCGUUUUAUGGUCCGUCAACCCAAGCCAGAAGUCAAUCAGCCAAGAUGAGACUCCCGCUGACAGGUCUCGGCGUGCCGAAGGCCGUGCUCACCUUUCGGAGCACUUUCGGCCACUGUAGCACGCGCACGAGCGACAUGAAAUUCAGCAAAAUAGUGCGCACAUCGCUUAAAUCACGUCGAAUACACAAACCAGGGCAUAUAUGACCCUAACGGAGGUGAGCACGAUGUUCAGCACGAACCCAGGAUCAUCGUGCUCACUUUCCCAUUUAUCGGAGUGCCCUCGGAUUGCCGAAAAGGCGAUCGGAACCCCAGAACAGUGCACAGGAAUUUAAAUGCAGCCUAACCUGAGCAGUAGAGCUAGGAUUGGUCGCCGGCGGCUGGACGGCGGGCGCUCCGGCCGGGGAAGGGUGCGGCCAGUCGGUGGGGUCGAAGGCAACUGCUAGUCGGUGACGGGAGGCGGCCGGUGGUGCGACGGCGUAGAUCAAGCCCGCGCUUGCUCUCGGGUUGUACAAGUCCCCGACGGCAGUGCGGCGGCCGGAGGAGCACGGGACGUCGACGAUCCGUCGCCGGAGGUCGAGGGGAAGCUGGUGCACCCGUCGUUGGGCAGCGCCGGUGCUUGGAAGCCGAGGGGACUCGACCACGGCCCGCACGGGUCUAGGCGGCCGCAGGAUGGAGGAGCGGCGGCCGGCGGUCCACGGAGAUGGCCGGGAUGGCGAGCGUCGGUGAGCGGGAGGUCCCCGGAGUCUGGGGGAAGGCAGGGAGGCUGAUCCAUGGCGGCGGCGGCACGAGAGGACAAAGAGGACCCAGCCUCGGCCGCAUAGGUUCUGGACGGCCGCAGGGGCUCGAGCGGCGGCCGGCGACGCUCCAGGACGACGGGAUGGCCAGCAGAGGGGUGCCGGAGGUCAUCGGAUGGCAGCGCGACCGAUCAAAGGCAGGAGCAGCGCGCGGGGACCAGGGUGAUCCCAGCUCGGCCUACUAUAGAUCCUGCCGGCAGCAGCUCAACCUAUCAGCGCCGGCGGCGGCCGGGGAUGGCGGCGGCCGGCGGGAACGACGCUGGAGAUGGAUCUCGGCAAAGGGAAGAUGGUUGCAUAGGUUUAGGUGCCUUCCCGAGCUUGGUGGCUAAGGAGGGUGGAAGGAAAAGUGGGGGGGAGGGGGGGGAACAAAGUAGGCCUUUCUCCGGCGGCCGGAAGAGCUCACUGGCGGCCGGGGUGCACGCAGGGAGGAACAAGGAGGUGGAGGAAGCUGCUCGGGGCGCAGCUAAGGCAUUGGAUCGGCUAGGGUUAGGGUUUCCUGUUUGGAACCCUAAUACCUAAACUUAUAUAGAGUGAAUAAGUAUAGAAAGGUCCCCCAAGUCUUUCUAUUUUCAGUCCAGUCCUUUACCACGGGUGUAAUAUGCGCGUAAGCACCUCGACGUUCAAAAUUACGUGAAACGGUACAUAAAAUAUAAGCACUUUCGUGAUUUUCACCGUUUUGCCGAUUUCGAUCCCUCUGCGAACAAUUUGCGUUUCCCGAAGAUCCGUGCGUCGAAUUUCUGAACGGAUCACGCCAGCGCAUUCAGCAUGACUGGGGCAUUGAAUCUACAAUUUUGUUUCGUUCUAUUUGUUCUCCGAUUCACGACGAAAUCAUCCCUCUUUGUUUCCACCACAUAACCGCCUAUAUUAAUAUAUGUGAAAUCAAUCAAACCCCUUUUUCUCGACAACCGAGCAUCAGAACCCAAUUCCGUCAGUGCCAUUGGGUUCAGAAUAGUCGAGCCGUUCGAAACGAGCUAUUGGAGUCCUAUGUUCGGAGUCCAAUACACACCAGAACCCUUCUCUACUCACUAGCUCAUUCGAAAAGCCAGAGUUACUAUUCACUUUAAGUCAUCGGUCCUGGUCGCGUAACUUCUCCAUUCUGGCUCAUUUUCUCCUGAAACUUGACGAGUACUUAUGUAAUUAAAUUACACACAGAAACAUCGUCAACAGAGAGUUUAGCUGCACUGUCAAAAUUUCAGUCCUUAUAAUUUUUUGAUUCUUAGAUCAACCCCUUUAAUCAUUUCUUAUCUUCGGAUUAAUACUAUUAUUACCUUGUAGGGACUACCUUGUAGGGACUACUCAAUCUCUAUAUUUUCGAUAGCAUAGUAAUUCUACACUAUAUAUAUAUAUAUAUGUAAGGACUGAGAUUUUUACAGUGCUACUAAACUCUCUGUUGAUGCUGUUUAUGUGUGUAAUUUAACUAUAUAAGCACUCGUCAAGUUUCAGGAGAAAAUGAGCUAAAACGGAGAAGUUACGCGAUUAUUAGUUUUCACUUAAGUGAAUAGUAACUCCGGUUUUUCGGUGAAGCCACGGAGUAGAGUUGGCUUUCUACGCGUAUCGGACUCCGUUCAUAGCGAUCCAAUAGCUCGUUUCGACCGGUUUUUGAGUUUGACGCACGAAUUUCGAGAAAAUCCAAAAAUACAUAUUUUAUAUGUAUUUAUGCGUUAUUUUCUUCUGUUGGAAAGAAAGAUUGGAUUGUGUCGUGAAUCCGUGGUCGAUCGAGGUGAAACGAAAUCGCAGCUUUGUUGUCUCCGUCGUGCUGAACGCGAUGGCGCUGUCGGAUCGAAAAUCCGACGGACGGAUCUCCGGGAAUUACGAGAUGUUCGCUGAGGGGGUCAAAGUGGCAAAACGGAUAAAUCGCGAAGAGACCCUAUAUUUUAUGUGCCGAAUUGCGUGAGAUCGGACAUGGAGGUGCGUAUGUGUAAAAUACGCGCGCUGUGAGGGACUUGGCUGAGAAUAUUAUCCCUGGGAGGACUAUCUUGCAAAUGUACAUAUGUAAAUAGUAGUUGCACUAGGGUUUCAUGAGGAAACCCUAGCUUUUGGCCUUCUCCUUAGCCGAACCGAACCCUAGCCGCCACACCUGCAUUCCUGCCCAACCGUGCGCGCGCCCUGACCGCCGGCAUGCCCCUCCGGCCACCGGAAAACCCUUCCGCACUACCCUCUCCCUCCCUCUCGGCCAACCACUCCACCACAUUGUGGUUGGGGUCUUUAGGAGUCAUAUAAGUUUGAGCGCCACCUUCCUCUGGCCGAGGUCGACCACCGGCGUUUCCCUCCGCCGACCCCGACCAUGCCCGUGGGCCGCCGGUGCCGCCCCUGCUCUCUGCGGCCACCCUCGGUCAGCCCAGACCGAGCACGGGUGGGCUCGAGGCUAGUGCGCCGCCGCCACUCCAGAUCGGCCGCGCCGUCAUCCCUCAGCCUCCGGCGACCUCCCGCUCGCCGCCCCGUCACUCCAGCCACCGCUGGCCGCCGCGUGGGCUCUCUGCGGCCGCCCAGACCGAGUGCGGGUCGAGCCGGGGCUAGCUCUGCCUCCGCGCGCCACCGCCAUUCCCCGCCGGCCGAGUCGCCCUUCCUCCACCUCCGGCGACGUGCCGCCGUCGCCCCGACCCUCCUCCAGUCGCCGCCGUGGCCGCUGCUGCCCUAGGAGCCGAGGUGAACCCGCACGGGCUCGGGUUGUUCCAGCGUUGCCAUCGCCGCCUUCCGCCGCCGGCCAGCGUGAGCGCCGGCUCCGCCUGGCCGGCCGCACCCAUCCACCGCCGGCUAACCCGCCGCCGGAGCUCCCUGUCAACCGUGGUGAGCCCAUGCUCUCCUCGGGUUGUACAACUAGGGCAUCGAUGCCCGCCGUCGUCGCCGCCUCCCGUCGCCGCCUCCCGUCGCCUGUUGACGCGAGCCCCGGCCUCCUCUGACCUGGAGCACCUUCCCCUCGCCGGCCUGUCCGCCGUCCGGCCGCCGCCGGCCACCUCGAGCCCUGCCUAGCUCCGGUAAGCUUGUAUUGCAAUUAUUGUGCACUGUUUGGGGUUGUGUAUACUGUUCCGGCGACCCGAGGCUGUUCCGAUGCCUCUGGAUGUGAGCACGGUGAUCCUCAGUCAGUGCUGAUCACAGUGCUCACCUCUAUUAGGGUCAGCGAGCCCCUGGUUAGCGAGAUAAGCAUGUUUUUCAUGCUGUGCGCGCUGUUCGCAGACUUUCGCGUCACUCCCGCGCUCUCUACAUUGGCCAGUGGUGCUCGGAAAGGUGAGCACGACCUCCGACACGCCGAGACCUGUUAGCGGGAGUCACGUCUUGGCUGUUUGACUUCUGGUUUGUGUUAACGAACUAUAAAAGCGCCGAAAUCGCAUGAAAUAAUGCGAUUUUGGGUAGUUGGGAGGGCUUUUAUGCAUCUUGGUUCGUCGUGGCUACUGUUGGCAGCAUGGAUGAGCUGUGGGUGACCUCUGGACUGAUUGUCCAAGGCCCCGGACCUUUGCGAAGAUCGAAAAUAUAUUUCCGGUGCGUUUGUCGGCAAAAUCCGCCGACGGAACGCGGUUUUGGUUCGGAAUUAUUCCGACGAUGUUUCGUGAGCUAUUGUGUAGUCGCUGAGCCUUGUUGGUUGGUCACUCACAUCAUUUCGAGAGUUCAGAAAUGACGGGUGAGCGACGGUGGGUUCUGGUGUCGAAAUAGACACUUCCGGAAACCCGGAUCGGAACGAUUAUCCGACGAUAAUCGUUUUGGAGUGAGUUAAGGUCUCUGCUGCCAAGUCACACGUAAAUUUGUAUUUAGGGGCAGCGGGUGACUCGUGGUACGAGUCGGUGCCUUCCGGGAUAGUCCGUGGGUCCCGGCAGAGUCUCGGUGCGAUUACGGGAUUUUCGACGUAUUACGACGAUCGGUUUGGGAAACCGAUUCUUGUGGGUUUAUUUAUGGGGUUAUAUUUUUAGGGUUUCUUAGUUGUGGGUUAGACACUAACCCAGUGGACCCUCCUUAGGUCCGGUUGACGUUCUUUUGCAGUCAGGAAACAGGCGUGACAGUUGUACAGGUGGGUACUUCGAUCCGACGUGGUACAGUGGUGCACGCUUGGUGAUGGUUUCUUACCCUUGCUCUUUUGUUAUUAUCCAUGCUUAUAUUAUAUGUUGAGCUUUGCACCUCUAUUGUUUACAUUACACCCACGUUGUUUGAUUAUACUCUACUCAGAUGUUUCCAUACUUAGUAUCAUGUGUAGGAGUAUAGUCUAUCUGUAUGUGAUACCAUGUUUCCUUGUUGCUCUACUUAGCUAUUCUGCAUAACCUGUUUCAUAUUUAUAGUAGAGCGAUUCCGUAAUUAUCUGUGAGAUUAGCGAUCUAGUCGGUCGAUUCUAGUAUUCAGUAUUUGUGACUUAUUCGGUGAGUUCCUCGACCUUUGUUGUCUGAUGACCGUUGAGGUCGGUAUACCCUGAGGGGUGGGAUUGUCGGUUAGUUGCCGACGGAUGAUUAUACUUUACUCAUAUCCUAUACUUGUGACAUGAUUGGUCGAGUUUCAUAUCCUAUACUUGUGACAUGAUUGGUCGAGUUUCAUAUCUUAUACUUGUGACGUGAUUGGUCGAGUUUCAUAUCCUAUACUUGUGACAUGAUUGGUCGAGUUUCAUAUCCUAUACUUGUGACGUGAUUGGUCGUGUUUCAUAUCCUAUACUUGUGACAUGAUUGGUCGAGUUUCAUAUCCUGUACUUGUGACGUGAUUGGUCGAGUUUCAUAUCCUAGUUGAUUUGAGUGGUCAGUCAUUGUGGUUCAUUGAGCAGUAUUUGCAUAUGUUUGAGAGGAUGUCGAUGUUGUCCCAGCCUAGUUGACCUGAGUGGUCGGUUCUUGUGCUUCUUUACAGUUGACGACCUAUGCGGUCGAUGGGCCCUGGGGGGCAGGAUUGUCGGCUGGUUGCCGACGGUUGAUCAUUGAGCAUAUUGCAUUGAUCGCCCGAUACUCGUCGCAUUUCACGAACACUGGCGGUCUGAUCCACCGCAAGGAGUGUUCUUUUCCGGAAAAGUGGUUGAAUGGUGACAACCCGUGAGCCCUAGAGAGGUUAUAUGCACUGGAGAGUAGUAGUGGCACUGGCUUGAGGUCUGCGGUGCUGACCAAGAGAGCAUUGGUUUCAGAUUUGGUACUUUUGGGCUUCUUGACCGGUUGACGCAUAUGUCUAUAGUAGCAGUAGUUGCAUGCAUACUUACAGUUCUUACUUUAUAGUUGUCUUGCUGCUAUAGUAGAUAUUCAUGUAUACUUUCGGUUCCAGUUACAGUAGCGGUAGCCGUUAUUCAGUCUAGUUCUUACUUUCUGUCAGUUUAUUGCUACUGUAUGUAGUAUAUCUACUAAGUACCUUAUACAUCUCUUUCGUUUACUAUUGUUCCUACUGUAUUUCCACUGACCCGUGUUGUUGUAUAGCUCUUCCUGAUCCGGUGAGUACUCCUCGCCUUCUUCGGCUUGCGGUACCCACUGGGAGGGGAGACAUGUUUACAUGUUCUCACCUCCCCCACCAUUUUUUAGGUAUCGCAGGCGAUGUGUAUUGGGACGAGAUGCGAGAUACGUACGUAGCGGUCGAUAGAUAUUCCGACCCAGGUUGUUCUGUUUAGUUUCUACCCUUACUAUUCUGUUGACAUAGUUUAGAUAGUUUACCUGGUUCAGUAUUUUUAUUACAUUUGAAUAUGUGGAUUUUCAUGAAUGUAAUAAAAGGAUUUUUGGAUUUUGUAAAAUAAAAGGUUUUCUACCCCU